GCGGGGGUGAUUAGUGGCGAACGGGUGAGUAAUACGUGAGUAACCUGCCCUUGACUCUGGGAUAAGCCUGGGAAACCGGGUCUAAUACUGGAUACUACUUCCUGCCGCAUGGUGGGGGGUGGAAAGGGUUUUACUGGUUUUGGAUGGGCUCACGGCCUAUCAGCUUGUUGGUGGGGUAAUGGCUCACCAAGGCGACGACGGGUAGCCGGCCUGAGAGGGUGACCGGCCACACUGGGACUGAGACACGGCCCAGACUCCUACGGGAGGCAGCAGUGGGGAAUAUUGCACAAUGGGCGGAAGCCUGAUGCAGCGACGCCGCGUGAGGGAUGACGGCCUUCGGGUUGUAAACCUCUUUCAGCAGGGAAGAAGCCACAAGUGACGGUACCUGCAGAAGAAGCGCCGGCUAACUACGUGCCAGCACGCGCGGUAAUACGUAGGGCGCAAGCGUUGUCCGGAAUUAUUGGGCGUAAAGAGCUCGUAGGCGGUUUGUCGCGUCUGCUGUGAAAGCCCGGGGCUCAACCCCGGGUCUGCAGUGGGUACGGGCAGACUAGAGUGC
rnacentral:rRNA from 1 species